AUUGAACGCUGGCGGCAGGCCUAACACAUGCAAGUCGAACGAGUGGCGGACGGGUGAGCAAUGUAUGGGAAACUGCCUGAUGGAGGGGGAUAACUACUGGAAACGGUAGCUAAUACCGCAAACCAUCAGUUGUGCUCAGAGUGGAUUAGCUUGUUGGUGGGGUAACGGCACACCAAGGCGACGAUCCCUAGCGGGUCUGAGAGGAUGACCAGCCACACUGGAACUGAGACACGGUCCAGACUCCUACGGGAGGCAGCAGUGGGGAAUAUUGCGCAAUGGACGAAAGCCUGAUCCAGCAAUGCCGCGUGUGUGAAGAAGGCCUUCGGGUUGUAAAGUACUUUCAUCGGGGAGGCGUUACCCACAGAAGAAGCACCGGCUAACUCCGUGCCAGCAGCCGCGGUAAUUC
rnacentral:rRNA from 1 species